rnacentral:rRNA from 1 species
GAUGAACGCUAGCGGGAGGCUUAACACAUGCAAGUCGAGGGGUAAAUGGUAGCAAUACUAUGAGACCGGCGGACGGGUGCGUAACGCGUAUGCAACUUACCUUAUGCAGGGGGAUAGCCCGGGAAACCCGGAUUAAUACCGCAUAGAUCAGUAGGAUCGCAUGGUUUAACUGGUAAAAUUCUGGUGGCAUAAGAUGGGCAUGGCGUCUGAUUAGCUAGUUGGUAGGGUAACGGCCUACCAAGGCGACGAUGGCUAGGGGGUCUGAGAGGACGAUCCCCCACACUGGUACUGAGACACGGACCAGACUCCUACGGGAGGCAGCAGUGAGGAAUAUUGGUCAAUGGGCGGAAGCCUGAACCAGCCAUGCCGCGUGCAGGAUGACGGCCCUACGGGUUGUAAACUGCUUUUCCCCGGGGCGAAUAACCCCCUCGCGAGGGGGGAUGCCGGUACCGGGGGAAUAAGGAUCGGCUAACUCCGUG